AAAUUGUGCUUAAAUUUACAUCAAUUAAUUCGCAAAGAAAUGAUAUAAGAUAAAUGAUUCGAAACAAUUCGAGUACAAUGUCGAAUUACUUAGGCACUAUAGAGAUAUAUAAUGAGUAAUAGUUUCAGGUAGUUAUUCGAAUGUCGGUUACUAUCAAGGUUAUAAUGUAACCUACUGCGUAACUUUCUUGUUUCGUGUAGAGGUAUUUUUAAAAUAGAAGUGACGAUGAUGCAAGAGAAUAAAGUUUUUGCAUCUGUCACGAUUAAAGAUUCAGAAUAUUGGCAUGCAAUGUUUCAUGCAAGAGAAGA